rnacentral:lncRNA from 1 species
GGGCGUGUCGGCGUACGACGAGGAGGCCCCCGCGGCGCACCCCGCCCUGGAGGCCGCCGACCAGAGCAGCGGUGGCGCUAGCAAGCGCCAGAGGACCGAGCCGGAGAGCGCCAACGACGAGGCGUCGCCCCGGGCCUCCGACUCCGAGUCGGACGCCCUGUUCGACGCGCUCAUCUUCGGCGACCAGUUCGCCUACUUCAACGGCGGCGCGUACGAGUCCCUGGACAGCCUGUUCAGCGCGGACGCCGUGCAGGGCAGCAGCGCCGCCGUCGCGGCGGACGAGGGGAUGGGCCUGUGGAGCUUCGACGACGGCUGCCUCGUCGAGGACAACCUGUCGUUUUAAGCUUCCUCGCCUGUGGUCAUGUCUUGUAAACUACGGAUGGUUUUGUAAAAUUUUGUCUAGUUUGAAACCUUCAAUCGAGGAAGAGCUGCAAUUACCGUUCUCUUAACAUCUUUCCCGGAUCGAGGAAGAACAGAAAUUACCGUUCUCAAAAACAUGUUGCUCUAUCCUUUCACAUCCAAGCGUUGAUAGUCAUCUAGCCUUUGAUGAGGAAUUCUAUUGCAUCAAGUCUUACUGACUGCUUGAGUUGAUCAAUGUUAGUUCACAAAGAAAAAAUGGUUUAGGGGGUGUUUUUUUCUAGAGCUAAACUUUAGCCCUGUCACAUUAUUAGUCUUAAUAGAUUCGUCUUGUCUAGAACGUGUCACAUUAUUAGUCUUAAUAGAUUCGUCUUGUCUAGAACAUCUGCAAUUAGAUUUAAUAGAUUCGUCUCGCGAAAUAGCUCAUUAUUUCUGGGAUUUCUACAGUUAAUUUUAUAAUUAGUUCAUGUUUAAUUAGAUUUAAUAGAUUCGUCUCGCGAAUUAGCUCAUUAUUUCUGGGAUUUCUGCAGUUAAUUUUUAAAUUAGUUCAUGUUUAAUUAGUAUCCGAAUCUUUGAUGCGAUAAGAAAAGGACAAACACGCCCUUCAACUAGAAGGAAAUUGAAACGACGAACGUGGUUCUUUUCUGUUCCUAAGGUAAACAGUCGAGAGCAAGGACCAUUGAAAACAGGCGAAGCAUGUAUUCGCACGCAAAUCGCGAGGCUGAAUUCCACUGAUCGUCCUGUGGAGUCUGCAAGGUCGCGUACUCGCGUGCACCAUUAGUGCGUUGUUCCACGAAUGACCGGAGAGAAAGAAGUCUAGAACCAGCCAACCUUUAUCCAGCCAGUGCAAGAUUAAAUUACGAAGAGAAACAUAUAAUGAUACUUUCAUCUGACAUGUUUUUACUCUUUACAUAUAAUAUAUCAGGACAUGUUAAAUUAGGAAUAUGUAACAGUUUAUAUAUGCGAUUGUUCAAAUGAUUGACUUAUGAUUAUGUUUUGUUUAAAAUUGACAUUGAAUUGAAAAUAACAUGAUCAGUGCACCCAAGUUCACCAAUUCAAUUAAAUUUAACAAACUCAAUAUUGUCCUCAUGAUUUGCAAUUUAUGUUAUGUUUAUACAAAAUCUACAUAUUUAAAAUACAAAACAAUUAUCCUUAUAUGGUUUCUCUGGAGACUAGAAAUAUUUGUUGAUUCCUAAUGCAAUGAAACCAAAGAAAAUGUAGAAUGUUUAAGACAACCAGGCCAUUUUGUAAAACUAGUAUAGAAUUUGCGAACUAGGUUCUUUGUUUUUUUUUGAAAAAACAUUACCAUUUGGAUCUUUGAGCCACGAACUACGCACAGGUACUCCCAUUUCCUGACAAUUUUGUUCACUCGCUUUGACAGCGAGGUUCAUUUGAUUAGUUUAUGAGUAUGAUGAUUUAUCAUUAUUAUAAAAAUAAGAAAAAAGUUCUAUUUUCACCCUUAAACUAUCACAAAAGUCUAAUUUCCAACCUAAAACUACAAUACCAAACAACUAGGGCCAUUUAGCUAUCAAAACGGGGCAAAUUUGGCCUUUUGGAUGGUUUAGAUGGUGGUUUUGCAUUUUGUAGAAAUUUUAAAAUUUUUGAUUUAAUCAAAAAAUUCAUAACUAAUUCAUUUCAAAUCCAAAAAAUAUGAAUUUUUUACUAAAAGUUUUCUAAAGGGGCAGGUUGAUGAGCAUGAGCCUUGGCAUUUUGGAGAGGAUGUGCUCUUAGAUCUUUCUCUUUGUGUGCAAUAUGGAAAUUUGGCGGAAGGGCAUACUGUGACACCGCUGCGCUACAGAACUGACGCAGGAGGCAGAGUUUAUCACCUUGUAUUUUACAAAUCGGUGAUUCAUUCGGUGAUGACAAAGGGAUACUUUUGAAUAUUCGGACGAAAAAAGAAGAAGAGAGAGGAUGACAAGAUGAACUUUGCCAGCUGCAAGCAUGAGCCUCCCAGACGAUAGGGAAGACAUUUGUAUUCUUUUUCAUUAUCAUCAUCAGUUGCAUUAUUUUGUUGGCAACUCUCAGGACUCAGGGAGAGGAGAGACACUGAACUUGGCUUUCCCUUGCUUGCAAGGCGUCCCUCAAGUUGCAAAUUGUCAAAGCUACAACAUGUCGCAGUCUCACCAUCAGAUCAGCCAGCACGGCUCGGAGAGGUGUCGACAUACCGCGCACCAUCCCAUCAUCUAACAGGCACAACAACGCCGUCAUCUCUUAAACAAACAAGCCAAGAUGUUGCCAUCUUCUCCUACCCCCUAUCAUCUCAUCAGGGCUCCAGUCCAGGCCAAGCCUGGCUGUUUGCGUACGUGCACAGUGCGCCUGUAUCUUCAGCACUAUUUUGAUAGAUACGAGCGGGUGAUCCGUACUCCGGGUUUUUGUCAUGCAUGAUGCGUGUGUGUCUCCAAAGCUGGCCUCCAUUUUUUUUUCCGCCGUUCCAUCGCCACACUGCCAACGAACUAUAUGAUGUGUGGAAGUGGAAAUGAAUCUGAAUGUUUAGAGAGUGGUAUGUGCUUCUCUUGUGGCGACAAUGGGUGGACUCAAACUGUUAAGAAUCAAAACUAUUACUGCCUGUAAUUUUAGGUUAAGGUAAAUUAGACUCGCGCGUGCCCGACCUGAUUGGUACCUGAAUUUUCCUCAUCUCCCUCUUCACUCCAUUCAAUUCUCUUCUUCUUCUUCGAUGAGAACCCAAACUGUAUUGUGUGGCUAUGGCUUCGGUGAUUCUUCCUUUUCUUACCUCCCCAUUAGGCUGCUCAUCAUCUUCAUCCUAUCCUUUUCAUCAUCCUCAGCUGUUGUUCGUCGUCCCAAAUGCAAGUCCCGGCGACACGUUUGUUCAGUGUGAGAUACCGCUCUCCCCUUGAUACCUGGGACUGGAAGUGAUCCAUGGUUUUGCAGUGCAGCGUUCAGCAGAAAAGCUGGUUAGCACCGCGGUGUCGAUAUAAUAAUCAGGUGAUUGCCGAUUGGAUGGUCCAUUGCAUAAACAAUGACAGGCGUAGCUAGCUAAGAGACGACGACUGUUUGCAGUAGUCCAGACAAAGGAGCUUGGCUGCUUAGGUAAGGUAGCACGACGACUCGAGUGCCGUGGCUCAGGAACGCCAGGAUCGCUACUUUGCUAUCGGAAAAGGUAGUAUCAGAUGGGUGGAUUAAUAUACGCAUCCAGUUGAUGAUGAAUAGGCUCGUAGCAAAAUAAAACUAGCGUGAUCCGUCCAAUCGCAUGAACUAGCUUUAAGCGCCACGAAAGUAAACUCAGCGUCCACUUGGUGGAGAUGGAUACAGCCUUGCUGGAAACUGGCAGGCCGUACCAGGUUUCGGAAUCGCACGGUUCCCCCUUUGAAGCUACUGUCAGCGGGAACACAAGGAUCGAAUUCACAGUUUUACUGAAAUCCUUCUUUUUAAAAAAAUACUGAAAUCUGUAAUACACUAAUACUGCUAUACUGUACUUCAUUUGAUAAAAUUUUGCAAAUUCAAUGGCCACUUUCAGAAGAAGAACGAUGAGCUGUUAACCUGCUAAGCCCAUGCGGACAUGUUGACUUUCAGGUCGACGUGAAUUACUGCAGAGAGAGACGCGUCAAUGAAGGACGUGUUAAGCCAUCAUGCCGUGCAGCUUCAUCUGAUCGGAUCCGGAUGCCCUUUCUCGCCUGUCGCCUGUGGGUGGGAGAGUGAAGUGCAAACCCCAUCAGCCCAUUGGUACCUGCCAUCGGCCCGGCCCUUGAACGAGCCUUGCCGUCGUCUCCCAUCAGUUCUGGAGCCAGCCACGCGCCCUUGCGGCUAAUCGUACUCGUCGUUUCGUACGUGCUGACUUGGAUGUCCCUUUUCUUUCCACUAGUCCAUCAACCCGUGCUCCCGCACGGACUAAUAUUUUUAGAAGCUAUUGUAUUUGAAAAUUAUUUAGAAAUUAAAUUCCUAGCUAAUAAUCAAAAUUGAUUUCCUACUACUCUCUUAUUUUUUUCAAUACGUCAACAUAAUACUUAUAUAGAUAUGUACCUAUCUUUGUUCAGUUGUGAUUGAUUUUUAAUUAAUAAUUACUCUAUGCACUUUUUCAUCCAUAUUCAUACUUUUUCCAUUUUGUAUUAUAUCUCCAAUCCUCCAUACAUUAUGUUUAGCAUACAAAUCAAUAUUUUUCAUCGAUUCCUCACAUACAUGUAUAAAUGGUCUAAAUGGUGACACUCAUCAUGUGUAUAUACUUUAACUUAGUAUUUUUAUAUUAAUAAUGACAUAAAUAGGUAAUUUAGAAUCAUAUAUUAUUUUAUUUUUUGAUAUUUUUGUAUGAUACACAUGAAGAUAAUUAGAUUAAGAUUUAGAUUACGUGGGUAAUAUAGAUAAAAUUUUAGAAUGACAUUUUAAGUUAUGCUUUAUAAUGAUAUGUAUUAGUAAAUUGGAUGAAGAUUAUGGGGUUACUUUAGAUUAUUUUUUAUAAUAGCUGAGCUCGGUAAUUUAGAUAUAGGUUUAGAGCUCAUUUUUGAAUAUUUUCACAAUGAUAGUGGUGGGUAACUUUUUAGAAAAUAUAAUGGAUCAAUGGCUAUGAUUAUUAGAGUUUACAGGAUUGGUAUUUGAUGUUUUUGAUUUUUAUGAGAAUUUGUCUCUUUUUUCUAGCUUGUCUCGUGGGAACUAAUGCGGAGCCUCUAAUGGAAAAAAAAUGGGACUACAUUGCUAAAAAAAUAUUACCAUAAGCUACCUCUCGUUUGUUAAAUAUUCAAACACAAUACUUAUAUAGAUAUAUACUUAUUGUCUUCAUCCAAUUGUGAUAGAUUUUAGUUAGUAAUUACUCUAUAAUAUUUUCAUCCACAUUUAUAAUCUCUAACUUUUCACUUGCAUCGCAGGUAUGCACUUCAAUUUGUUCAAUGAACCCAAGUUUGUGAUAGAAUUUUAAUAUAGAAAUAUAUAUUCUCAUCACUUCCUCUAUAUCUUUAUAAAUGGUGACACAUCAUGUAUAUAGACCUUAAUUAUUAUAUCAUAUAUCAAUAGUGCAAGAUAUAGACGAUUUAGAAUUAUAUAUUGCUGUAUAUUUUUUAUUAAGGUUAUUUGAUUCAAACGUAGGGUUAUCAUGUUAUUUUUAAUAAUGGCAUAUGUGGGUAAUAUAGAUGCAAAUUUAACGGGUUACUUUAAGUUUUUAAGUAAUAGUGGUGGGCAAUUCGGUUGCAAAUUAGGGGGUUAUUUUAAAUAUUGUUUAUAAUGGCAUAAGUGGGUAAUUUUGAUGAAGAUUAGGGGGUUACUUUACUUUAUUUUAUAUAAUGGCAGAGGUGGGUAAUUUAUAUAUAGAUUUAGGGGGUUACUUUAGGCUAUUUUCAUAAUGGCAUAGGUGGGUAAUUUUUUAGAAAACAUAAUAGAUCCAAUGGCUAUGAUGAUUUGAAUCUAUCGAUUGAUGGUUGGAUGUUUUGCUUUUUUGUGAGAAUUUCUAGGAUUUCUCUCUUUUUCUAGAGUGUAUAUAUAGAUUUAGGGGGUUACUUUAGGCUAUUUUCAUAAUGGCAUAGGUGGGUAAUUUUUUAGAAAACAUAAUAGAUCCAAUGGCUAUGAUGAUUUGAAUCUAUCGAUUGAUGGUUGGAUGUUUUGCUUUUUUGUGAGAAUUUCUAGGAUUUCUCUCUUUUUCUAGAGUGUCCACCUAGGAAUCCUAGGUGGCUUCACCUGGAAGCUUCAAAAGGAGCCUCAAAUUAGUAAUAGUAAGAUAAGAUUGUUUCCCUCUUCGUUCGGGACGAGGCCUCGCCGUCGCGGUGACGCGAUCGCGCAACGCUUUUCUUUCCUUCUCACGCCUUUGCCCUCACGACCUCCAUAAAUAGUCGCCACCGCCGGCGACCAACACCAUCACAGCACUACACCGAUCCACAGCUGCUUCACCGCUCACGGCCUUCUUCAUUCCGACAGAGCACACUAGGCAUCUAAUAAGCUAAGCUAGCAAGAUGUGUGGCGGUGCGAUCCUCGCCGAGCUGAUACCGAGCGCGACGGCCGGCGGCAAGGGCCGGAAGCGGGCCCCCGCCGCGGCGGCCAAGGACGACGACUUCGAGGCCGCCUUCCGGGAGUUCGACGAGGACUCCGACGAAGAGGUCGUGCUGGUGACGGAGCGCAAGGCGUUCGCGUUCGGCGCCGCUGCCGGGGCUCGGCGCAGCAGGCGGCCGAGCCAGUACCACGGCGUCCGGCGCCGUCCGUUGGGCAAGUGGGCGGCCGAGGUCCGCGACCCCGUCAAGGGCGUCCGCGUCUGGCUCGGCACCUUCGCCACCGCCGAAGCCGCCGCGCGCGCCUACGACGACGCGGCGCGCGACCUCCGCGGCGCCGGCGCCAAGCUAAACUUCCCGACGUCGUCCUCCGCCACGGCGCGCACCAGCAAGCGCAGCGCCGCCGGCGCCGCCAAGGCGGUGCCGUACGUCGACCUCGUCGACGGAGACGAUGUUCCUGACGCGGCGCACGCGCCGUCAGUCAAGAGCGAGGCGGAGACCAGCGACAGUGUCUCCGACGCCAGCGGCUGCAGCACCCUGCCUGACUUCUCGUGGCAGGGCAUGUCCGCGACCGACGACGGCGCGACGUGGCCUGCUGCUGGCUUCCACGUUGAGCUCGGCAGACCCAGCAAGCGGGCCGGGACGGAACCCCAGGAACCCGAGGAGGAGGAAAUGGCGCCUCCACCGGCGGCGUCCGAGGAAUCCGCCGACAUGCUGUUGGACGCUUUCAUGUUCGGCGACCAGUUCAGCUUCUUCAACGGCGGCGCGUACGAGUCUCUGGACGGCCUGUUCGGCGGCGACGCGUCGCUGUCGCUGGGCAACGAGGGCGUGGGGCUCUGGAGCUUCGACGACACCGUGUGCUAUUAGGCUUAAGCUUUCCUUCAUUCAUCUACCCUGUUUUCCCGGAGAAGUGCUCGCUUCAUCGUCCUGCACUGUUGCUCGUGUUCUGUACAAAUGCUCUCGUUGCUAUGAAUCCUUGUGGUUUGUAAUCACAUGUUGCAUCAUUGAGGUUUUCAAGUCUUCAUCUUCAGUGACCACGUGCUUAACUGAUUGUAAGACGACCUGCUAACAUCUGAACUGAACGUUACAAUCUGCUUCUUGAUCGCUCCUCGAUUUGUUGUUACUUUCUUCAUCAUACAAUAUAUUAAGUUCAAAAUUUUGAUUAAAGUUGGAUAAUUUUUUCUUAGGGCAAAAUUAAAACAAACUUAAAACAGAGAGAGUAACGUUCAUCUCUGAAGAUUACGCGAGACCUCACCAUAGCGUUCAACCGGAUAGGUGGUGUACUAAGAGGAUGCUGCUCUGCGACCUUUUAGCCUGACCGUAGGAAGGAAAUCGAUCUUGCAAGUGUUUGCACGGCAAUCGGCACCAGACCCAGCCCAACUGCGGAUUUGGGUUGAAGCAACCAACCGGUCGUGUGGUAACGCCUGACACAUCCCAACCUGGCAGUGGUAGCUGAAACAUCGUGUGGUGCCGAGCAGAGGAGAGGGGAGGACGAGGGAGUAGGAAACAUCGUGUGCCGGUGGUCAAGAAGAAGAAGAAGGGUGCUGUAUCGCUGGCGGCUCUCCUCCUCCUCGUCGUCCUCUCUGGUGUCUCUGUUGCAUCAUCCGUGCGCCGCCGCCGCAGGUGCUACCGCAUCAACAAAGACGGCAUCAAAGUAGGGCUGACCGGGGUCGAGCCCUUGGUGGUGGCCAACAAGCCAGGAGUCCUGAGCAAGUGAGCAUGUCCACCAUGGGACUGUGGGUCUUUCCGGAGGACGGCACACCUUGUUCAAGAAAUGCUUCUAUUGUCCCGACCAUCCUUCGGUCGGAGUUCGAAAUUUGCUGAUGCAAGUCCAUCUAGUUCAUUCCAGGCAAAAAUCAAUUACUGUGAUUUCCUUCUUAUAUAAUCUGAGUUUAGUUGCCAUGAAAAAUUCACAGUUUCUUUUUUUCGCGCUUCCAUUCCUACGACACAUGCAUGCCGCAGAUCUGUACAUAGUUUUAAUUUCUUCUUUACGAAAAAAAGGAGCUACUGUAGUAUAUCGGUGAUGCUCCUCGUACCUUCCAGCGAGAUGCAUCACGCACGCACGUACACAAAAGAAAGAAAAAACAAAGAAUGUUAGUACAAUUACAUAACCUCCUCAUAGUACUUAAGAAAACAAAAGCAUGAGAAAACAACCUAGUAAUGGAAUAGAGUAAUCGAAUGUGCAAGAAAACAUAACCAAAAUACAAAUGAAAGUGAUGCUUACUUGAUUGAGUUGUACAACCAACAUUAAUCUGCAAGUUGCUAGUCUACUACUAACUUAAUCUCUAAAGUCUGAACAAACUACAAAUGUACCAACGGAAGUAAAUAGGCUCAGAGUGGAGCGGACGUGGUGGGAGGGGGAGGGGGGGGGCACAACCCCCCUAAAAGAACUAAAAGAAGAGGUGGAGAUGGAGGAGGAGGAAGAUAAUCCUGCCUCCACCACUGGCUCAGAGCACAAGGGAGCGUAAGGCUAACUAAAGGAUAAAUCAACGCCAUGGUGAUAAUUGCGGGUGGCUCACGGUGCUCUGCCUAGCACCUGAACUUGGAUUUCAACGGGUAAGAAGAGCAUGUUGGGCAGCACGGACGGUGGUGCCGGUGUCCCUGGCUCUGGGAUCAUCAACCUCACCGCCGGUAGGAUGAGCUCGGGGUGGUAGGUCCAAGUCAAGUAGGCGAGCAUGUUGGGCGACUCGGGGCGGUAGCCCCGGGAUCAUCAAUAUCUCUGCCGGUGGGAUGAGCUCGGGGCAGUAGGUCAAGCCCGGAGCCGAAACUCCACCACGUCGGCGCGGUUGGCCGUGUUGGCGUGGAGGCGCUCAAUCCAACGGGGUUGGAAGAGUACCGCCUCCGUCGUAGCAAUCUCCCAGUACGCUAGUAGACCUGUGAUGGAGAUCUCCACGUAGUGGACUCGCGAGCCGGAAAGGACGCGUUCAACGUCCGCCAUCGAUGGCAACACCACCAUGUACCCGGCCGGGAACUGGUGGAUAGUGAGGUUGCAUGCGGAUUGGGGGCUCCAGCCACCACCAUGUACCCGCCCGGGAACCGGUGGAUAGUGAGGUUGCAAGAUAGGGGGCUCAAGACCCACCCACCCCCGCGCGGUGCAGGCGUUUGUGUUGCGUUUUCCAUCGCUGACAACUUGCACUGGGUCGGUCGAUCCAAUCCAUCACCGACACAGCUCGCUUGUAUUAUUGGGUUCAGUCAUUGUAUUCACUCAUGCCUCCAUGCAUCUAUCGUGCGUUUUCUUAAGCCCGUGCGUGGUUAAUUAGCUACAUCUCGAUCUAUCCUCAUGCAUCAUCUGGCAUUGUUAGUGCUAUACACGGACGACAGCUGCGUUUUGUACCUAGAACCAGAAGUUGAAAGGCAGGAGCUGCGUUUUCUAGACCGGUUCGUCAGCUGCGAGUCGGUGCGGCUAAAAAUCAACAGGACAUCCUCCAUACAUUGCUGAGCAGUAACACGUCAGAAAAUCGUGCUGAUGGAUCCAAAGGUGAUGAGCAUUAAUUGUUGCCUCGUUGGUGAUGGGGUACGGUGGCAGAACCAAAUAAUAAAGCUAGGAUGGGCGACCGGAAGUGCCAUGGAGCCUUGGAGGCAUGCAGGGAAAGGAGGUUGGAGGCUUGGAGCUAGCUAGAAAUGCAAACCAUGGGGAAUAGAGAGGUUGGUGACGACGAAAGGUGGAGGAGCGUAUCUUUCCUAGCUUGUUUGUCUCACUGGCCGCUCGUUGUCAUCGAAAGCAAGCAGACGCAUGUUGCGGCUGGGCGCACUGCAAGCAGAUGCAUAUGUGUCCCACUGAUGUGCCAGCUGAUCGGUCAAGUCUGUUUUGUCCAGCAACAUGGGCGCUCUCAUCCGUCUUGGAUGGUGACGGGAUCGGAUAUGCUGUGGGGUGACGGACAUGGCGCGGCCGGACGGACGGACUUGCUGGCUGGCUGGACACAGACGAUCCGUGCAGUGGAACGUAUGGCAUGCUGCACCAGCUAUACUUGUCCCGUUGGGCGAGCACCAACUAUACGCUCGUGCACCUCAAGUGAUUCGCGCACUGCUCGCUCAUCUAUAAAGGCAGCAUAUGCACAUGCACAUGUUCAUUCACCUCUUCGGCUAGACCUCCAUCUGGAAAAGUAGGCACUGGUUCACGCACGGUUAAAUUCACAUCAUGAAACGAACCUGCAGCCAAUCGAGCUAUGUGAUGAUGCAGCCAUCUGCGCUUCGUCGAUUCGAUGUUAAUCCCGGCCAUCAACGGCAACCAACUUGAGCCAAGUGUACCGACGCGGUGCCCGUGUACCGCGAGCUGGCCCCGGGAGUUUGCCGUGUGCGGCAGCUGGUUCGCGUCCAACCAGGCGUGCACGCAGCCAACCGGGUAGCUAUUCGUGGUCCGCAACGACGCCAAGCACAGCUCGUCCCCGGCUUGCUGCAGCGCACCAUCUUCUAUUCGGCGCACUGCUGGCUGGCUGGCUCGCUCGCUCAUAGUCCACAAAGGGAUCGGAGGCAGCACCGCCCCGCAGCAGGGUCAUAUCCGUCGUCAUCGAUCCAUUUACAAGGCGAGCCACCGCUCCCGCUUGCCCGCAGCAUGCAUCGCGCUGCUACUGCUCGCAGCAUGCAUCAGUAUGUAAGCAUUUCACUUUUUCACCUUGCUAAGGCAAGUGUAAAUAUUGUAAAGUUGCCGAUGAUCUUUCCCAAAGUUGAGCAGCCAUAUGCCGCCCUCGGGCAUACCAGGUUGGGAAAACCAGGGACAGAGUACAUAGCGGCGGAUUUUUGACGUACAAGUGUACAGCAGAUCUAUACUAUACAUUAGUAAACAACACUACCUCUAAAAAAAUAAUAAGAACGCAACAGGUUUUAUAUGUAUACGUGGACAGAUAGGCUGAAGUCAUGAGAACAAUGUUCUUCCAAAGAGCGGCGUGGCAAUACAAGCCUCUAGCGUACCAAGCAAGCGGCGGCGGCUGCUAUGGCGGUUUGGCAAAUCAUAUGACCUUCAAGAAGUAAGGGAUUUGCUGGUUGGUCAUUAAUUAUUUUUAUAUGAAAUAAAUUUGUCCUAUGCCAACAACUCUUUUUGGGCGUCUCUUUGACGUAAUAAAGACUUUAAGCAAUAAAAAUAAAAACUUGUGCAAGAGCUUUUCUCUAGUAUCUCGAUUGAAUGCUGGAUCCUAAAAAUAUUCAUUCAGAUUUCUCAUGUCCCAAGGACUUGUUUGUGAGAAGAGUGAAUAUAUACUUACACUCUAUCUUUUUAAUUCUCGAAAAACCUGUCGAUUCCAUUUACUGGUACUAUCUAAUUUUCGAUUUUCAAUAUAUACAAACGUAUUAGAAUUUUUUUUGAAGGAGCAACUUACUGGAAUUUUAAAAGGUCAAACUCUAUAAGUUUGACAAACAGUUAUUUCAUUUUAAUAUGAUAUUGAUUUUAUAACAAUUAAUCACAUAUUCAAAAGGUAAAUUAAUCGUCCAAAAUACUUUAAAAAGAAAGGCAGGGAGUAUAUUGUUUGCUUUUGCCAGGUAGGCGGAAUGUGGUGACCACAAGCCAUACUCAAACAUAUGACUAUAUGAGCAUUGGACGUGCGAUUCGUGAUGAAGUAGUCAAAAGUACUAGCUGCAUUAUGAUGGAGACAUGCUUAAUAAAGGUGUUAGGGAGAUAAGAUUUCUGUUUAGCUGAUGUGCCCAUUCUAAUCCCUCAUUAGCUGUUUGUUGAUCUGUUUGCUCUACCUUAAAACUGUAAGUUGUUGGCGUGACGACUGAAGGCAGUUGUUGUUAUGUGACCGUGACAUCAUUGCUCAAGUAAUCAACAUGGGCUGUUGCAGUGGAACGAGCGAGAUUAGGGCGCCGUCGUCCUUUUGUAAGUUUAUCAUUGACGGCCAAGUGGGGAGGAACGAGGCCUUUGCACAAGUAGCUCUGGAUGGUUGUCAGGCCUGAAUGACGAGGAGGGAUGAACCGGCAGCUGAAGGGACAGUCACCCAGACAGUUUCAGAACAAGUGGCAUUAACUGACGAACGGAGCACAAGAUACUCCUCCAAUUGCAGGAGCACGCAUAGUAGGACGAUUCUUCAUUAGUGCUAAACUGCUAAUGUAAUCAGCCCAAGCAUCGACCAGAGUUCCCAAGUGAAGCGUUUGAACGAAAAUGUUUCCAAAAAAAAACGUUGAACGAACUUACAGCACCUAUCUACUCCCUCCAUUUCAAAUUUCUAUUCACUUUAAUUUUAGCAUAAAUCAAACUUAUCUAACUUUAACUAAAUUUAUAAAAAAAUAUCAAUCUCUACCGUAACAAAUAAAUGCACAAUUAAGACAUAUAUUAUAGUGGAUUCAAUCGAACUAAUUUGAUGUUGUAUAUGUUGACUUUUUUAAUAAAUUUGAUCAAAUUAGAUAAGUUUGACUUAGAGUAAAAUUAAAGUGAAGAAGUAAUUUCGGAAAAAAAAGCGAGUAGCACAGAAUAUUUUCUGAAAGAGUCAUCGUGAUGAAAUGGUUUAUGAUCACUCGUCUACUUUGUGGCAUUGUUUUCUGAUUUUUUUUUUUAAUUUUGGCUGUAGCAAUUAGCAUAGAGGGAGAGAGCUUGAUCAACCUAGAAGAACAAGGUGGCUUCCCAUACUAGAAGAAAUAGGCACCCAAUCGAGCUAGCUUAGUUCGUUCAAUUAGCAUAGGACAUAACAAAAUUAUAUUUUUAGAAUAUGAUUUUGCGUGUGUUUUCAUUGUUUAUGAUGAUGAGAAGUGAAAAAAAACCCCCCAUAUAUGUGCGUAUCUUCGUCGUUUCAGUUUAACAUGUGUGUAUUCAUCAUUUCAAUUGGAUGGGAAUAUACGAAUGAGCAUAGUCACUUGUUAACACAUUCCGAUUCCAGAAUUCAAGUUUCAUUCAUUCAAAUUGGGAAAAGCUAUCCAUUGCUCGGGUGUUUUAGGAGCUCCCGUCACCUGAAUUUUGUACCGUCCAAUCUAACGAUGUGUGGUGCUCAUUCAUUCGCUUUCCCGUUACCUGCUGCUACCCACUGCCUCCUGCUGCAGCUGGCACAGCUCUCUGCCUCCUACUGCAGCCUGCGCCGCUCUCUGCUUCCUGCAGCGCUCCGACCAGGAGGCAGUCAUCUGAGCAUGUGUUGCAAGCAGGUAGACAACGCUCCGACUAGGCCAUGGUGACCGAUUUUGAGCUGAGACACCGUGCGGCCUCGUGCUCCCCCGUGAUAUAUCGGCAGUGCAAGCCUAGUUGAAGGGAGGCAGUAGAGUUUGCUAGCAUUUACCGUUUGAAUUAUAUUAAUUUACAGUGCUUUAGUUGUUGUAAAUUAUUUAAACUUGUCAUGUAAAUGAGUUGCAAUUUUUAAUUUUGAAAUCUGAUUUGUAUUUUUGCAUUCGAGGGGUUUCUCACAAUUAUAAAUAAUUUGUUAUCCGACUGACUAUAGAAAAAAUUUGUUAUCCGAUUGACUAUAGAAAAAAUUUGUUUCAGUUGUUAAUUUUGCCUUUUGCAUGUUAUUUUUCUUUCUCUUUUCUGCAUCAUUUUAUUUACUAUGUGCUCUGUAUAGUUGUUUUCUUUCUGCAUCAUCUAAUCAGGAUCCUAGAGCCAUAAUUUUCGGGUGACAGAUCUGUUUCCAACGCCUGAUUUUUUUCCACUUCAAAACAGGGUGUUAUACCCCUGCAAAUCACCCGGGUGAUUGUUGGCCCAAUAAUACCCCGGUGAGGAGUAGACACUCCCUUCAAAUUUUAUCUGAAAUACAACCUUACGGCAGCAGGAAGGGAAUGCAACGUGGCUUACCACUUGGCGCGCAAAUGCACCGUGGGAUCCAUUAAGCUGUGCUAGGUGCGUGACAUGUGGCAUGCUACUCACCAUGCCAAGUCAUCCGCCAACGGUCCUAGCUGGUUUAUAAAUCUCUUCCCUCCGUUGGCAACCUUCCUGGUUCCAAACAACACGAACAACCCAGAGAAAAAAGUUUCGGAGGGGUGAACAAUGUGCGGAGGCGCCAUCCUCACGGAGCUGAUCCCGUCGCCACGGCGCGCGGCGUCGAAGCCGGUGACCGCGGGCCACCUCUGGUCGGCGGGUUCCAACUCCAAGAAAGCCGGCAACGGCAGUGACAAGGGGCACCACCACGCCGACAUCGACGACUUCGAGGCAGCCUUCGAGGACUUCGACGACGAAUUUGACGAGGAGGUGGAGGAUCACCACUUCGUGUUCUCGGCCAAAUCCGCAUUCUCCCCAGGUAAUCAACGUCGUCGCUGCUCAUUAAUUCAAGGGUGUUCAAUAAUCUGUAUCGGCAAGAAUGUUCACGCACGUUCUUGGGUUUGAUCGUGACGUGCGCAAGAGCUGUUAGUGUAAUCUCAAGGGAAAGAACUCUUGUAGCCCACGGCGGGCGCGCGGCGAGCCAGAAGAAGCGCGGCCGCCGCCACUUCCGCGGCAUCCGGCAGCGGCCCUGGGGCAAGUGGGCGGCGGAGAUCCGCGAUCCGCACAAGGGCACCCGCGUCUGGCUCGGCACCUUCGACACCGCCGAGGACGCCGCCCGAGCCUACGACGUCGAGGCACGCCGCCUCCGCGGCAGCAAGGCCAAGGUCAACUUCCCGGCGGCCGGCGCGCGCCCACGCCGCCGCGGCAACCCGAGAGCCGCGCCGAAACCGCAGCACCACCAUGCUGCAGCGGCGGAGCAGCCCGCGUUGCUCGCAGGAGAGAAGAAGCAGGAGGAGAUCGCCGUGAAGCCUGAAAUUACGGUGUCGUUCGACGUGGACGGUUUCUUCAACAUGACCUUCCCCGCCUUCCCCGCCGCGCCGCUGGCCAUGGAGAGCUCCUUCACCGGCAGCACCGAGCCGGAGUCCGGUAGCCCCGCGAAGAAGCCGAGAUACGACAACGAGUCGUCUGGUGGGAUGAGCUCCGGCGGUGGCUCCACGCUGGAGCUCGCUGACGAGCUGGCGUUCGAUCCGUUCACGCUGCUCCAGCUGCCCUACUCGGGCGGGUACGAGUCCCUCGACGGCCUGUUCGCCGUCGACGCCGCCCAGGACGUGAACGGCGUGAACAACGGCAUGGACGGCGUCAGCCUGUGGAGCUUCGACGACUUCCCUGCUGACAGCGCUGUCUUCUAAUGUGUAACCUACCAGUUGCGCUCAGUUGUAAGCACCUGAACUGAAUCCAUAGCCAUGGCUUCUGUUCCUUGUGUUCGUCUACUACUGGAUCACGAUCACCCUUUGUCAGGAUCUGGUUCUUGGUUCAGGAACGGCGUCGGUGCUCAACCGGACGAUCGAUGCGGCUGAGGGCGACUGGCCAUCGCUUUGCUUGGUGUUUGGUGUGUAAUCAUACGUCAGAUUACUGUACUGCAAGCGUUUGCUUGCUAGAACCUGUAUCUGUACUGCCGGCCUCCUGAUCAAACCUGUACUCUCUACUAUGAAUAUUUGUACUACUCGUUUGGGUGCUUUGCACUACUGUUGGUCAAUAGUCCUAUGAAUUCGAUCAUGUCGGCAAUGGUCGUCUAUAUUGUACGGUUGUGAUUGUUAUGCCAAAUAAACUUUGUGAACCUGGUUCUACAUGCAGUAUCUUGUUCAUGUGUCACCUAGCCACCCUGCCAUGCUUGAGUUGGAGCGUGCAAGGCGAUCAUAAUUUUCUGAAUCCUGUUAGAUGGUGAACAAUUUUGCUUCCUGUAUAGGUUGUGUCUUGUGUAACUUCGUGUAAACAUGGCAUAACUUCACUAUUUUUUAAACAAAAAAUACAUGGAUCUUGCAAAAUUACCUACUUGCAAACAUGUAAAAGAAAGGCUCCAUAACAAGCAUAACUUCACUAUUUUUUAAACAAAAAAUACAUGGCGUGCUAAUCUUUUUUCGAAACGAACAGGCAGGGGCCGAUUAUAUUAAAAAGAAGGAGUUCUAGAUUGAAAAGAUAAAAAAUAGAAUAAAAAAAAUAAAAUAGACUCGCCCGGUUGUAUUGGGACAUCAACACGGGUAGUCACUCAACUCAACACUGCCAGACGCGAUCGGUUAGAUUGGGACAUUAACGCAGCCUCAUCACUCCACUCGCCAUGGCGUCACCCACCAACCUCCAUGCUUAUAAUAUGCCGAAACCUCCAAGCGUGACCCGGCGUCGACAAGGAACCGAUAGAAACGGACCGCACCGCACCAAAAAGGCCACCGCCAUGUGGGACCUUCUGCUGUAGUAUCGCUGCAACACCACACUCCACCUGAAAGGGUGAAACCACCGAAUCCGGACCUCUCGCGGGCUGCCUCGCAGUCGCCACCAUGAUAACACAACGCGAGAGGGCCUUGCCACAUCCACCGUGAGACUCCACCUCACUCUCGUUGCUUCGAAGAAAAACACCACGCACGGAUCCGUUUCUUUUGUCGUUGUCCGAGUGGUGAGCAAGGUUGCCCCGCUCCACAAGCUCUCCUCGAUCAGCCAAGCCGGCGCCACAGGGUCGACCUCGCCUCAUUGCUUCACCCACGCACAAGCAUCCGCCGCCAUGUCAGCAAACCAGAGAAGUCGCUUGCGCCGCCUUCUGACAAUGUACCGCAUCAGGUAGCCCAGCCAAGCUGAGCAACCCGCCGUGAUCCGCUGCAAGCCUAGUUAUCCCAUGAUGCCGUUGCCGCAAGCGUUGUCCUCCGACGCAGUCCCACGCCGCACUGACCGUUGCCAAGCAACACCAGGCGUCGUGGUCCACUGCAAGCGGCCAAGACCGACAUCAUGUGACAGCCCCUGACCGCCACCAUAACUGCGAUCAUCUCCAUGUGGCCUCUGCAACACACGUCCAGCUUGCCACACGGCAGAAUUGUCGCCAACGGCUGCGGCCAUCCAUGACUUAUGGACCAGGAAUGCCAUAGAUCGAGAUGGGUCUCUAGAGAUGAUGCCUCCAAGGAGGGCACGAUGCCAAUGGUGCCGCCGUCGCUCGUCCAGAAUCUGGACAGAGUUUUCACCCAGAAGCCCCCGCGCCAUAGGAUUGUAGCUCAGAAAUGACGCCCCCAACGAGGAGAAUGACGCCGCUGUCAUCUCCACCAGCAAGCACCGGCGGGGCUUUUGCCUAGAGCAUCCCAACCCCUGCACGCUCACGGCUCGGCACUCCCGGCCACAGUCACAGCAGCCUGUUCGGGGCAUCAUCGCCGUCGCGCCUCCUCACACUGCCGUACCUCCACCUUCGAUCUCACACCGGCAGUCAUCCUCCUUGCCGGCUGCUGCACUCCCUCCGCGUCUCCUCCUUCGGCACCUCCUCCACAACUCCUCCUCCCGGCCGCCCCUCCACAACUCCUUCUCCAUCGGGCCGCCUCAAACGCGCUCCGUCAUCCACCGGGGCUGGGGGCUCCCGCCGCACCCGCCAACCUUCACUAGGCCGCCUCCACCAUCGCGCGACCUCGGCCAUGGCGUCGAGCGCCCAGUCGAGCUCGUUGACGGAGUAACCCAGUAGCUCGAUGCAGUCGCGCAUCGCCAUCUCCCCGCGCGUGUAGUUGGAUGGCGUGACGAGCCCCCUGACUGCCCCUGCAGUGCUCACAGCCUCGUCGAGCCCGCCGCGUCACCGGCGAGCGUGGUGGGUGGCGCGGCGCCGCCCGUAGCGCAGGAAAAGCGAUCGGAGCCCGCGUCCGCAGCGCAGAGCAUGCGGCCCGACACACCGGGGGCACGUCCACAGAGCGGGACUCCCCCGCCGCCAGUGCGAAGCCCGUGGUGGAGAGCGGCGACGACCCCGCGCUCGACGAGAGCCCCCCGCCGUCUUCACCCGGGCCGCCGCCGCCUUCGCACGACCGCUUGCCGGCGUGGUUCGGGGGCAACGGAUCCGAGGGCGUGGAGGCCGGAUCCGCCCACGGCAGGGUCGGAUCCGGGCUGCUGUUGCCGCUGUGGCGCGCCAGCGGCCGAGGUCCUUGUGCCGCCCCGCCUCGGCGCACGAGUCCCGGAUCAGCCGGUCUACCCUACCGCCGCUGUCCUCAGGAGCCGGACGGGCUUCCGGCGGCCCCCUCCGACGGCGGCAAGGUGGUCACGAGGGUGGGGGGGAGGGGGGUUAGCGGUGGCAGCUCGGGCGCUGCGCGUGUCGCUCGCGGGAGGAGCGACGCGGCGGCAUGCCAAUCAGAACCCCUGAAAAAGAAUAGUUCAGAGAACAUGAACAUAUCAUUUCUACGUGCUGGCAACAGUUCUUUGCCAUUUCAUUUAUUCCAUGAGACCAUGACACCAAAUUUCGACCACCUGGGAAAACAAUUGUCUCAAUUUUCUAGGUAUUGCUAUUUCUACGUGCUGGCAACAGUUCUUUGCCAUUUCAUUUAUUCCAUGAGACCAUGACACCAAAUUUCGACCACCUGGGAAAACAAUUGUCUCAAUUUUCUAGGUAUUGCUUCACGAAAUAGUCUUGUGAGUUGCGACGGAUGCAGAAACCACCUCGCAAUCCGGUGGGCGCACUACUGGUUUUCGACAGCUGCCGGACGAUAAUUUAGGCUGCAAUUUGCACACCUUGCUAUUAUCUUGCUCGCCCCGAUGUAGUUGCGACCGCGACUCGGCUCAACUACGUUCCAAACUGAAUUGAGUUGCAGGAUUCUCAAGCAAAAGAUAGAAAAAUUCACAAGUGGAGGCAGAAAAGCAAACGCCUCAGCCCUCGCGUUUUUUUGGCUGCAACUUGAUGACCUGAGGGCCAUGCCAUUAUCAGUCGGCAGCGCCUAUUUUAACUUCAGAAAACUGCCAGUUGCGCCGACUCGGCCCUCUUCAGAAUCUGCCCGUGAUGAUGGCCUGAUUUCGCCGCCCAUGAUUCUUCGCAACGAUUGGAUCUUCCCAGCAUGGUUGCUGAUAAAAUUAGUUGCCUAGGUCGCCAAUAAUUUGUUUGGCUACUCUUCUCACCUGUUCCGUUAGCUGGAGAAUUCUCCCCAUCACAUCGUUGUAGAGGAAUUAUAGAAUCCUCGACCCUCUAGAUGCAAAGUUCUUUUCAGCAAAACAAAAGGUUGCUCACAAGCUUAUCCAUUUCUGGCACAGAACGACAGAACCUUCAAGAUCGAUAAGGCUAACCAGUGCCACUGUUAGUUGUGUCCUCAGAGCACUGUUACUUGUCCAUGCUUGUACAGAGAAGGGGAUGACUCGACAAGUUUGGUUAAGGGUUGUCGCCUCUAGAAGAGAUUUUGGAUUUUGUUGUGAAGUUGCAGAGAUGGAAGCGCCUCCGGUCGAUCUUCUUCUCCUUCGAUUUAAAGCCUGCAUAAACAGAGCACAGAGCACACUGCACUUUUGAAGAAACUGUUGCUUCACAGUCUGAAAUUGGUUGGAUACAACAGCAUUUCCAAUUCACACCAAGACCUCAGAAAGAGAGAGGAAGCGUAGAUGAAACCAAAAUCGCCUCUCACUCUGAUGAAACCAAAUUCACGCCAACAGCAUUUCCAAUUCACGCCAAGACUCGUAAAGGGCCUUACCAAAAUCACCUCUUUCUGCUGAAACCAAUGCAGUCAAUAAGAGGAACUCACAGUCCUUCAUAGUUGAGGCAUCACCUUGGACAGGGGCAGCACUUGACAACUGACAGGGCCCGAUGAGCAAUGUGCAUGACUUGGGAUGCUAUAAGUAGCAAUGCCACGUCAUGUGUAUACGCAUCAAACCGCAGGGCUCCCAACGUUUUCUGCAAAAGGGGUUUGGGACGGUCUUAUACUAGUAUGGCAUGGAUGAUACGCCUCUAGAUUCUGUCCUAUCUGCAAAUAGCAGUUGCCAACUCUGCAAGUCUGUGGGAGACUGGGAAUAGAAAAGUAGAAAACCCAGGGCCACGGGACUCUCGGACCGCCCAUGGCUUCGUGGGCUGAAAAGAGCCCAUGGUAUCGCACAGGGGCACAGAAUUUUUUUAUAUAGAAGUAGACCGCUGCAGCUGGAAUAAACGGCGGAAAAAUUCAAACGGUGGUAAUUUCUCAAGAUAGUAUACUUUUAAAAAAUCAUAUCUAAUUCGUAUGAAUUUAGAUAGAGGUAAACUUUAUAUGAAAAUUGUAGAUCUUGAUGAGAUCUAUCGAGAUCUACAACUUUGUAGUUUAAAAUUUUUUAUCAUCUUGGUACUCAAUUAAUCGUCGACUCAAUUAAUCGACACAAGUUUAAAACUGAGCAGCACACAUUCAAAAAAUCAUAACUAAUUCGUAUGAACUCGGAUAGAGAUAAGUUUUAUAUAAAAAUUGUAGCUCUAGAUGAGAUUUACAACUUUGUAAUUUAAAUUGUUUUCAUUUGGUUUCUUUUUUUCUCAAAUAAUCAACACAAGUUUCAGAUCUAAAAUUGAAUUUUAGAUCUGAAACUCGUGUUGAUUGUUUGAGUAUCAAGAUGACACCAAAUGAAAAAAGUUUGAUCUACAAAGUUGUAGAUAUCAUCGAGAUCUACAGUUCUUAUGAAUUUCCAUCCGAGUUCAUACGAAUUAGUUACGAUUUUUUGGAAAUGUGAAAGGAAGUUACUGCCGAUUCAACUAGUUUACUUCCGCCAUUUAAUUCGACAGUAGAGAUCUAUUUCUGCAAAUUUUUAAAUCCGCUAUUUAUUUCUGCAAAAUCGUGAAAGAAAAAAUAUAGAAAUAAAAAAAAUUCAGGGGCACACAUAGCAGAGUCUGUGGGCGCACACAAUAUAGAGGGAGAAAGAGAAACCGGCGCGCGCGGUUUGUUUGGUUGGGUGCGGCGACGAAGACGACGACGCCCACGGUCUCCCACGGUCUUCAACGGCCCACGCCAUCCGGUUCCUCUAUUUACAGUUCCCACGCGCGAGAUUUUCCCUUCACGGUCGCUCUCCCGCGUUUGCAAGCUUCCAACAUCCAGACGAUAUGUGCGGGGGAGCGAUCCUAGCCGAGCUCAUCCCGGCGCGGGUGCACCGCCCGCUGACGGUCGCCACGCUCUGGCCGGCGGCGGCGGCCGAUGGCAGGACCACUACCGCCGGCCGCAAGCGGAAGGCGUCCGACGUCGACGAGUCCGAGGCCGCAACCGACGACGAGUUCGAGGCCGAGUUCCGGCUUUUCGAGGAGGACGAGGAACCGUCUCCGGCCGCCUCGCCUGAAGCCGUCGGUGGCCGCAGGUCCAGGACUGCCCCUUCUCCUGCAGGUACGAUCAAUCAGACCACCGGCGGCCAACUUCGAGCUAGCACUUCGUCUGCAAGAAAGACGUGUUCACUUUUUUUCCUCGUGUUCCCGUGCGUGACGCAUGCACGGCACGCGGUUUCAGUUUCAGGCGCCGCCGUUUCCACGAGUCCGGGUCCAAGCAGCCACAAGAAGUACAGGGGCGUCCGGUACCGGCGGUCGGGCAGGUGGGCGGCGGAGAUCAGGGACCCGCGGCAGGGGCGGCGCGCGUGGCUCGGCACCUACUGCACCGCCGAGGAGGCCGCCCGGGCGUACGACCGCGAGGCCCACCGGAUCCGCGGGAAGAGCGCGCGCCUCAACUUCCCGAUCCCGCACGAGGACCUGCCCAGGCGGCGAACGCCGGUGGCCAUCGACCUGAACGUUGCGGCAGUUUCCGAUGAUCUCGACACCGUGGAUGUUGACGGAGAUGCGGGUGACAUUCGCCAUGAAGGUAAUACGUCGUGACAGCAUGCUUACACAGUUACACUUAAUUAACACUAGUUCAGUACAGUACUGAGUGUUCACUGGUACAAUGGCGUCGUUGCUGCAUGUCUUCGCAGAGAUGGGCGGUGAGGCGGUGAGGCGCACGAUAGCGUGGAUCAAGGAACUGAUAACGCAGGGUCCUCAGGACGAGAGGAUCGUGCCUGAACUGAAGAUGAACGGAGCGUUGCGGUAUGCGGCGUUGAUCGCCGAAUGCAGCCGUCAGAUGGAGGAGAUCGCCGCCCUGCGGAGGGACCUCGAGACCCGCGAGAGGCAGCUUGUCCGGCUGGUUUCAAAUGUGCUUCGUUGAUCGCUCCAAUAACGUGGAGCUGAAAUUAGCACUGAUGUUUGCAGAGUCAGGAAGCUUUAGUAUGUAUGAUGAUCGCUGGAUUAUAUAUGUAUGUUUAUGGCGUGAAGUGUGAACAAUGUAUUUGUGAUAGAGGAGCACUAGAACAGUAAUGAGUGAGAAGAUCUUGCCAUAACGAUGAUGACAAGGUCGAACAUUUUCCAGCUUUUUUUCGAAUCAACGUAGAUACUUAUAUACACAUACGGACACUCGCUCCUACGCGAAUGACCGAGCCGGCAAAUUUAUGAGUACCUUCGAAAGAUCGAGCCGGCAAAUCCUUAAGAUGACGUCAUCAUUAGCCGGCACAUCCUUAAGAUGACGUCACCAUUGAAAGAACAGCACAUCGAGGCGGCAAAUCCUUAAGAUGACGUCACCAUUGAAAGAACAACACCCUUAAGAUGAUGUCACACCAUUGAAAGAACAACACGCGCGGUUCAUGUGCAGUACCGCUUCUAAGAUUUUUUUCGUUCUAGAUUACAAACAGUAAUACAUAAACUACAUUAUUCACAUGGCCGCGAGUGGGUCGCUUGUCAGGCAAAAAAAUGGUGCGAAUCAAUUGAGAUGGCACUGCUAUGUACACUGCGUUAAGUUACACUUCUAACACGCUUCUUUGUUGUACACUUCUAACACGCUUCUUUGUUGUACACUGCGUUAAGUUACUAUUUAGCACGCUUCUUCAAAGAACACCGGAAAUGUACAAGUUUCUUUUUCACAGUGCAAAAUUUAAUACUCGUUGGAUAUCUAUUGUGAAACACCUAAGGUGCCAAAUGUUAUUUUUUUAUUAUUUUAGAAAAUGAGCAAUAGGCAGUUCAAUUUGUGUAAGAAUAGGAAAAGAUUAUCUCGUUCCUUGCCUAAAACUGCAAAUUCUUAAUACUUAUAGUGAACAUAGAUUAAAAAUUGUAUUUGGCCAUUGAGAGCUAGUGUGAGCUCAAAAGAGCCUUGUAAUGAAAUGAAAACCUUUUAUAUCCUGUUGUGUAAUGCAUAUGGACUGGAUGGUUGCCCUGGAAAAGUGAUCGGGCAUCAGGCAUCAGCCAAAUACAAUUUUUCUAUAAUCUUAACAAAAUUCCUAUAGAUUUCAUCACUUUUACAUCUAAGAGGAGUUUGUACGAAAUUUUCACUCUCCAAUUGGACACCAAUGCAGUUUCCCCUGUCAUAUUUUGCAGCGCAGGCCCCCAUAUGCGGGACACGGACAUUCGAGGGGCCCAAAUAACAGAUUCAGCAGCCCCCGAGCCCCAGCCCUUGGAAACCCUUCCAUCGCCUCUCCUCCGCGCCGCCACUUCCCCUCUCCAGCGAGCUCCCCACGGUUUCGCGCGAGAUCUAGCUAGGGUUCGGGUUCUCGACACCGGCGGCGAUGGCGACCGAGCAAGCGGCGGAGAACUACACGGUGGAGGACCUCGUGGCCCUUAACCCCUACAACCCCGACAUCCUCAACGACCUCGAGAAGUUUGUCAACGAGCAGGUAAACCCUAGCCACCGGGAUGCUCUUGCUUCUGCUUGUUUUUUCCCCGUGAGGGUUAGCCUCUGCUUUUGGUAGUGCUAAUGAAUAUAGCGUUCUCACGUUUACGUUUAUACGGCGGCGAAUUCGUGGGCUAGUCGGGUUCUAGAUUAAACUGCGCAGCUUUGACACAAUGGAAUGGUGCCAUCAUUUUGUUUCAAUGACUAUAGAAUUAGCAAUAUCUCCACCUUCACGGGUGGCUUGUAGUGUAUAUGUUUGCUGCGUAGUGGUGAAUUUACUGGGUGUACUGAGCAUGUUUGUUUAUGAUCUAUAUGGUCAGCAGGAGUUUCUAGAAAUAUAUUCACUUUGUAGGAGUAAGUAGCAUGAAAAGGGGUUCUGAAAAGGGGACUGUUCUGAUUAUCUCAGUGGAGGUUAGGAAUGCCACUGCUAUUGUAAGAUGUUAACUGUUGUGUCUUUUGCAUCAAUGUGUGAUCAUCACCCAUCAGGAGCGUUAACGAUGAAGAGCCAUUUUCAGUUUCUAUGCUCCGCCAUCAAUUGUCAUGCUGUUAUUUUUGUGUAUGGUACCCAUAGUACGAUUGCUUCCAUCUAUUCAUUUGCUGAAAAAACUUUAGGUUCUGACUUCAUUAGUUGCUUAAUUACUCAGUCUUUUUUUUCUGUCUUCAUUAGGUCUCGUCUCAAACAUACAACUUGGAUGCAAACCUGAGCCUCCUUCGCCUGUACCAGGUAAUAAUGAUCCUCCAGCGAUUCCAAUUUUACCAAUAUUGUGGCUCCAUUUACAUGUUUUCUUAAUACUGGCUUCCUUAUGCAGUUUGAGCCAGAAAGGAUGAGCAUACAGAUUGUAGCCCGCAUAUUGAUUAAGGUCAUAACAUCUAAUGCUUGCAUUGAUUUUAUUUAUCAGUAGCAUGUCAGGUUCACUUUCUGACUAUGGGUUUUGUCCAUGAUGUUCUGUUGACAGGCUCUCAUGGCAAUGCCAGCCCCUGACUUCAGUCUGUGCUUAUUCUUAAUCCCUGAACAUGUGGUAUGAAAAAUUGCAUCCUAUCCUUUUAGUGAAUAUUAUCAGAUAUGCUGUGUAGGCCUGGGAUUCGCAAUAUCUAUUGAUGUCUCAUUCUUGAUGAACGUGCAUAGUGUCCUAUCUUUAUACGCUUGCUAAAGAGGCCCUGCAACUAUGUUUGAAGUAUAUAUUGUGAAAUGUGAUUAGUGAGAAUUUGAAAAUUUUUCCCAAAACAGAUUGAUCUUAUGUAUCAGAUGUCACAAAGGCUGUCCUGUUGUCUUCUGUUUUUUGUGGCUACAUUGUUGUGUGAGCUCACUUGAAAUGUUUUGUUAGUAUCUUGAGCUCACCUGUCUACGCCUUUGUUUCAGCAAAUGGAGGAACAGUUCAAGACAUUGAUAGUUCUUUCUCACUACCUGGAGGUAAAUACUUUGGUCUAACUUACAAACAUAUAAUUAAAUAUUAAAAACCAUGUGGCAUCUAUAGCUAAAUCUAAUACUCUGCUUAAAGACUGCUAGAUUCCGUCAGUUUUGGGAUGAAGCAGCAAAAAACCGCCACAUAUUGGAAGUUGUUCCAGGUAAAUAUAUUUCUUGAACCAUUUAGGCAAGAACUCAAGAUAUGCACUGCCUGGUGGCUGUCGCAUAUUCGAAGUCAACUUGUUGCAUCAAUCUGGGUUUUAAUACCUAGAGGAAUUGUUAGUCAUGUUAUUUUUUUUUGUGUUCACAUGGGGUUCCCAGUAGAAGUUCAAAAUGAUGGCAAUCUUGUUCUUUUCAUUUUCCUAUCAAUCAGGCUUGGGUGCUGGUGUUAUCCAUCGUUGGUGUUCAUUUAACAUUCAAUCAUUCAAUUCAUCACACGCAUGUUCAUGCCCAAGUAAAUUGUUUUCUGUACCUGUCCUCUCCUGACGCUAGGUGCAUGGUUCCUUUUGUUUUCCUAAUCUUAAGUUGUCUCACUUUUAUGUGCAUGUAUCACCAGAGAUUGGAGAGUUUUUUUUUUGGUAUGCGGGCAGUAGGAUAGCACUGUGGGCCUGAAUGGGCUGCUUUUUGGGCCCUUGGUCCUGGGCUGUAACACUCACCUUCACCUUAUGGUAACCAUUUAUGUGGGUUCUUUGCAUGGGAAGAAUGCCUGAGGGCUAGAAUUUCUGUUGAGUGGAUUUACACAAAGAUGUUCAGUUGGAUGAUAUUUUAGGCCGGCUGAUAUGCACUUUUACCUGUAUAUCUUAAAUUGUUCUCACGUUACAUGUUAUGUGCAGGUUUUGAGCAGGCAAUCCAAUCCUAUGCGAUUCAUGUGCUUUCCUUGACAUACCAGAAAGUUCCGAGGCCUGUUCUUGCAGAGGUAAAACAUUUACUCUGUUUAAUAAAUGUUUCAAGUUCUUCAUUAAGUGCCGCAAUACUUUUUUCAACACUGGUAAUUAUAAGAAGCAUAUUAGACUGGUCGGAAUAUGUUUGAUGUCAAUUGUAGCAUGAUCAUGAAUUCAUGGUCAUCCAGGUUGUGCUUUGUUUACAUGGGGUAUUGGAUAAUUUCUUGAUAUUAGCACGCCACUUUUCUUUACAGGCUAUCAACAUUGAAGGUCUUGCUUUGGACAAGUUUCUGGAGUACCAUGCCGCAAACGCAGGUUGGGUGAUUGAGAAGGGUGGACAGUCUCAAGUGAUUGUUCUUCCGCGCAAUGAGUUCAAUCACCCCGAGCUCAAGAAGAACACAGCUGAUACUGUUCCAUUUGAGCACGUGACACGCAUAUUCCCCGUCCUUAGCUGAUUCAGGCGUACUGAGAGAUUUAUAUAUAACUCAGAGCGAGUGAAGUUUCUCUAAGCAAUUGUAUCUCCUGUUUUGUGGUGUAUCGCAUUUUGAGAAAUCUUGAUAUACCUGUUUUUGGCUGAAUUAGUACUUGCAACUGAUGGUGCCUACCCUACUACAUUACUCUAAUGAAAUGCUCAGUUAUGUCAAAAUGGCUUAUGAUGCCUUUCUCCCUGUCACGUUGCUCAGAUCGGCCUGCCCUAAUGCAACCAGACUGGUCCUUCAAUUCGGCAUAUUUCAAAAACAUACCACUGUCAUGGGUUGAAGUAGUGAGAUAUUAUUUUCGUUCGCCCAAGGAAUGAAUUCUAUCAGCACCCAGGCGCCAACGACUUCCGUGCUGGUGGCGGUGAUGCCAUACCAUACCAUAUCAUCGGUUGAACUAUCUGAUAAUGGUGCAUCCAUGAUGGGGGAUUGACAUAUGUUGGAAGCAUCAGUCUGAAGUCUGAACUCUGAAACAUACCGUAGAGAUGAAGUAUUUUGUUUCAAAAAAUUUCUCAGAUUACCUUUUGACAAGAUUCCAAGGUAUUCUAAAGGCUUGCAAAGUAAUACUGCUACAGUUAAACCAGAGUAUAGAAAAAUAGAAGUACAAUGAAGAGACGAACUAGAACCAUGCGACUUCACAUUCACAAGAUGUAACACAGUUGAUUCAGUCAUCAUCAUUAUAAAAGAAAUGCCUGUGAUUUACCACUACAAAAAUUGGGUAUGUACGAUGCAUUUUAUACGAAUCUCUUUGGGGAGGGAAACGAUGAAGCUCUCAGUGCUUGCUAUCCACGGCCUUGGAAGCUUUCUGCUCCCGUGUUUCGAUCUGCUUCAUCAACUUCUCUCUCCUGCGCAGUAGCGCUUGGAAUUCCUCAGGGCUGAAAGGAGGUGGCAGGUCGCAUGGGCCAGCAUCACUGGCGGACCUCACCAUGGAAUCCUCCAUGAACUUCUUCUCACGGCCUAUAGCUUGGCAAGCCAAAGACUCGGAACAGACCUCAACAGCUUCAGGUGGUUUCGUUGGUUUGAACCUUAGGAGCUUGGCAUACUCAGUUAAGAGGUGAAACAUGUAGUCGUAGACAUAGUCCAUACUGAGCUCUUUUUGGAUGAAGUUGCUCGCUUGCUUUCCUAUUCUCUGUGCCUAAAGUUGAAGUGGAGAUACAUGGAAAUAUUUAUUAUCAAAAGUUGCAAAACCUUUACAAAAGUACAUAACAAAAUAUUCUCUAUAGAAGAAAAAGCAUAUUCUUUACUUCAAUAUGAUCAUUACUAGUGAAAAUCAAGUAGAAUCGGAAUAUAAAGUAGGAAAGCUUUUGCCAGCAAAUUUUGAACUUGUAAUAUUUUUAAUAGAAACAAAUUGAGCCGCGCAUAAUACCUGCAUUUCUCCUUUGUGUUAACAUGUUAUAACCAAAAGUUAUAUGCUUUUAACCGAAGCAUAUAUCAAAGCAAGCGCAGCAAAAAAUAGAAAAAAAAUGUUGAAAUAACUCCAUGGUGGUUUGAUUAAUAUUGGUGACACUAAAAAUAUCUCCUGAGUUCAGACGACACGAUGCAUCUUACAAGUAAUGUGUUUCAAAUUUCAAUUCAUACAAAUAAGCAAGAGUAUGUUAUGGUAUAGUGUAGUAAAACUUCAUCAUUACUGAAAAGUAAAAGUCAUAUAGAAGAAAAUACCUUUUGUUUGUGAGAAUUGCCCCAAUCAACAGCAUACUUGAUUGAGUUACACUUAUUGUCAUCCUGAACUGGCCAAUAAUGUUGCAUCGGCAUCAACACCCUUGAAUAGAAAUCAUAGUAUUUUGGUGUAACCACUAGUGUCAUUGAAUCACAAGCUAGAAUAUACUUCUCGCUGACUGACCAUGCUGAUCCUUCAAUAUAAAUCUUGUACCUGUCACCCAAAGAAAGAAGGUUACCAUUACUGACAGAACAACAUCAAUCUUAACAUGUCUGCAAGGAUAAAAAAACAAACCUAUGGGUGCAUUGACUAGCCAAGUCUGAUUGUUUGUAUCCUGCCUUGAUCUCCUUGAGCCAAUCCUAAAUGAUAAUCAAAAUGAACUAUGUAAUCAAUGAUGAAUCACCAUUACCAGUACUGUUUCAUUGAAAAAGUUGUUAUCCACCACCUAUGAAGGGUUAAAUAUUUUAUGAAUGUAACUGAACAAUAUGAUGGAAGUUAUGUGAAGAGAAUGGGCCAUGACAACUUCAAAGAAACUUCAAUGCAACAUAAAGAGAAGCAAAGUACCUGUUUAUAAAUCCGUGCAUUCCAUUCAUGCUCACUGGAAACAUUACACUUAACAAGUUCCUGUCUUAUAGCUGCAACAUCUGGAUUCCCUUUCCAGUAAGCAUAUGGUUCUCUAUCCAUCCAUCUCACCCUCCUGUUGCCACUGUUCAAUUCCUUCUGCAGAGCAUCCCAUGGCUUUAUGUUGAUCUCAGGCCUGUCAACAGUCAUCACAGACAGUUAAUUAAGUGGUUGUACUUUUGUCUGAACAUCAAUACACAAAGAACAGACUAUCAGCAAUGAUUUCACUUUGCUAGCCUCUAAAAACUCAAACAUCAGAAAUGCAACUGAUUUUUUGCAGUUGGUUCUCAUCGACUUCACAAUUAUCAACAAGGAUUGCAGUGAAUACUGAUAUAGCCAUGCCAAUGCACGAAAGAAACAUAAUUAAUUAAUUUGUGGUGGAGAAAAGGAAGCUAGGAAUAGUUGCUUACCAACCCCAGAAAGACCAGUCCGGGAAGACGACGUCGAGCGUCUCAUUGUCGCCGCAGUACCUGAAGAGCGGCGGCAAUACGGUGGCGUUCUCCCCCUCGUACUGGUCAGCGUGCACGACAGGCCAGUCGACGCAGUCGAACAUGAGGUCGAGAUCAGGGACACGACCGGGGUAGAGCCGGAGCAGCUGCAGGAUGCCCCAGAUAGUGAAGAGGUCGCGCGUCUGGAAUGCCGGCGCGAUGCGCUCGAUGUAGGCGCGGCCCCGGAUCACGACGAGGCGGAAGUUGGCGGUGGCGCGUGCGCGGUCGACCAUGGCGUGGGUGAUGCCCCCCGCAGCGCGCCAUGGGUGGAGGUCCUCGUGGAUGAAGCGGAAGUAGGCGGGGCAGGUCGAGGAGGCGUUGCCGGUGGCGGGGAGCGGCGGCGGGUCGGGGAUGGCGGCGCAGGUGGAUGCGGAGGAGGCGUUGGGGGAGAGCGCGAGGCCGAGUGUCUGGGAGAUGUUGCUUGGUAUGUCCGGGUCGCGGGGAAGCGGCGGCGCCGAGCAGGAGAGGGAGUAGGUCGGCCGCGGCGGCGGCGGCGCGGCGGGGCUGGCUGGGAUAGCGGUGGUCUGCGUCGCGGUCAGGAUCGCCUGAAGGGACAGGAAGACGAUGAUCAAGCCUCUGAACGAGUGUUUACGCGGUGAUGGUUGCUUCAGAAGUUUCAGUCAGCCCAUUUUUUAAAUUAAAAAGAAGAAAGAAAUUUGAUCGAAUUGUCUGUGUGCUUUUGUUCUAUGCUACCAGCUUCUCUGACUCGAAAUGGGAAAAGCCCUGAGUUGAUCAGCAUCACAUUCACAUCCAAUCUAACUCCAGACGAUUAUGCUGAUAAGAAAUGAAAAAUCCCUAUAUUUUUAUAUAUUUCUUUGUUUGAAUUAUGGAAAAUCCCAAUAUGUUAUUCUAGGUGAUUGCAAAGAAUUGUGAAAAAAAAAACAUGGAUGGGGCUUACCUACCGGCUUUGAGCGCCACUGAUCCAUAUUUGUGAUUGGCAGAUGAGUCUGCACAUAUGUUAAAUUAAUUGUUAAUUAGAGCUCAGGAAGGAAUCGGCGAACAAAAUCCUCAAACAGCGAUAGAUGAAAUGCACCAACGAAUAGAUUCUUCACUGUCGAGCACUCACAGUUGUGGUGAUCCAGCGGGCGGACACAAGGAUGCCGACCACGACGACGACGAAGAAGAGGAAGAUAGCUGUCGUCACCGGCGACGAUGGCGAGCCCGAGCUCUUGCUCCACCGCCGCCCGUCCGGGAUCACAGCUGCGGCGGGCGCCGUAGCCAUAGAUCACCUAGCGGUUGUCAGACUCCGAUCUUGGGUUUGCCUAUGGAAGAGAAGAAAGUUGGCAUCAUUGGGCAUCACAUCGAGCAGGAGCUGCCAGAGAACAUUGCGUUCGCGCCGAUCGGUCAGGAGGGCGCGUCCACGUGUGCCAAGUUCCUAGGACAAGAAGCGGUCAGACUGAGUGCAGCGGUUGAGUAUUUUGACUGUGCUAAAGCAUGCACAUGCAUACUCUAGUUUCGAGCAUGCGCCCGUGUAAGGCAAGGAAGCAGGGAGGCAACUGCAUGUGUAAGGCUAGAACAUAAAUUUUCACGGCAGGUAUUAGCUUCACUCUUGCCACCCAAAACCUUGUGAUAUUCUUGACAUGAUGUAACUUGAAUUAUCAUGCCCUGUUGCGAUCGUUGUGCUUCCCCGCUGCAUUUUUCUUUGGUGCUGUUUCAUGCGUACUAACCAGUGGGAAUGUAAAUCGUUUCGAUGAUCUCCAGCUGAUAAAGAAAUUUGGACCAUGUCUUUGACAACUAUGCUUUCCUGGUAUCUUUCACCUUCUUUGAUUUUCAGAGAUGAUCAGCUUUCCCUUCACAUCUUCCAGUGACAUUUUCAGAAUGUUGACUGUCCCAAUUGUUCAGCAUUGAUUAAAUCAUUCGUCUUACAGAACAUUUCAAACAAAAAGAGGAGCCGGAACGAAAUUAUGUUUGAUGAACAAAAGAUACACUUUGUAUGCAUGUAUUAUUCAGAGCUAAGUGGUUUACCACUGCAGAAAGAGGAGGACCGACAUUGUGUGUGCAAUGCUUCGCAGCAUGGUGGAGACCAGCCAUACAUUUGCCAACUAUGGAUGGAAGUUUAGUGACGAUUAAGCUAAUGGCGGGAUAUUUUAUUAUUUACCUUUUGUUUUUUAAAAUAAUUACCCGACUAUUUGUAGUUGUAAUAAAUACAGGCCGCAUGCAUCUGUUGAUAUAGAGGUUUUAUUAGGGGAAAAAACCAUGUCGAUGAUGCGGUUGAAAUUCAUAUGAAAAAAGAGAAAAAAAAUUGGAAUAGUAGUAAGAUGGGCCGACUAAUGGACAGGCCCAUGUUUUGCCCGGCCCAACGCGCAUCCCCGCGUCGCUGCAGAACUUUCCUAGGGUUUUGAGGCGCCUCAGAUAAGAGACCCCCUCUCCUCCCCAUUCUCCCCCUUCGCGCCGCCACUCCCAGACUCCUAGCCCGAGCCUCUCCUCCUCCCCUCCGGGACACCACCAAACACUUGCAUCCCCAAUCCACCAUGGCGGCGGCGGGAGGCGGAGGCGCGCCGCGGGCGCUGUCCCAGAAGGAGACGGACAUCCAGAUGAUGCUCGCCGCCGACGUCCACCUGGGCACCAAGAAUUGCGACUUCCAGAUGGAGCGCUACGUCUUCAAGCGCCGCACCGACGGUACGUGCCUGCCCGGGAGCAUCCUUCCCUUGUCUUCCCCGCAUGUAAAUCCAUGUGGACAGAUAGACAACCUCUGUCGCUCCUGUGUUCCUGCCAUGGAAUCUCCUGCGUAGUUAGCCUGUGAACUUGUGUCAUCAUGCUUGUAUCGUAAGCUUAGAUUUUUUUAGCUGGAAUCAGAGUUAUAUGUUCUUAGUGACUCAACUUGCGGAAGCCUAGUACUAUGGCGGCAUGAGGCUUGCAAUGGAAAUCUAGUAUUAAUUGUGAUCUGCGUUGCUGUGUGCUACCUAAGUUAACUGGCAAGUGGUGCUUAGUUGUGAUAUGGCUUUCUGUCGCUGUUUUAUCAGGGAUCUACAUCAUCAAUCUUGGCAAGACAUGGGAGAAGCUCCAGCUUGCGGCUAGGGUAAUCGUUGCCAUCGAGAACCCUCAGGACAUCAUUGUCCAGUCCGCCCGCCCCUACGGCCAGCGCGCUGUCCUCAAGUUCGCGCAGUACACUGGUGCCCACGCCAUUGCUGGGAGGCACACCCCUGGUACCUUCACCAAUCAGCUCCAGACAUCCUUCAGUGAGCCCCGCCUGCUCAUCCUUACCGACCCAAGGACUGACCACCAGGUGAAGAGAAUUUCCAUUUCAAUGUUCUGAGAUAUGCGUUGGCUGGAACCUGCAGUAACCUGUGAUUGUGAACUAAUUGUUAUCCAUAACUGUUUGCAGCCAAUCAAGGAGUCUGCUCUGGGGAACAUCCCUACCAUUGCCUUCUGCGAUACUGACUCUCCCAUGCGGUAUGUCGAUAUUGGCAUCCCAGCCAACAACAAGGGAAGGAACAGCAUUGGAUGCCUGUUCUGGCUCUUGGCCAGGAUGGUUCUGCAGAUGAGGGGCACCAUCCUCCCUGGGCACAAGUGGGAAGUCAUGGUACGCCAGCCUAGGAUGCUGUACAAAAUGAUAUUGGAGAUGCAAUUAGUGCAGAUUUUUUUUGUACCCUUUGCAUUCUUAUGUGAUAAUGUUAUUUGCAGGUGGACCUAUUCUUCUACAGAGACCCUGAAGAAGCAAAGGAGGAGGAGGAAGCUGCUGCUGCCCCUGAAUUCGCUGCUAUCACUGAUUACCAAGCACCUGAACAGUGGGGUGGCGACCAGUGGACCUCUGAUGUGGCUCAGCCUGUUGCUGUUGGUGGCACUGGUGCUGAGUGGGGUGCUGCUGCAGGUAUGUACUGAUAAAAUUUUAUCAUCUUUGGUAUGGAACUCAUGCAGAAAUCUAGCUGUGUUGAAAUGGAAACUAUAUAACCCACACCUUGCUCUAUGCCCUGAGUUGCUCUUAUAAGUUUGUUGUGGUAACACGAAGUGAUCACAUUUUUCUUUGCAGCUCCGGUUCCUACUGGCGAUGGCUGGGAUCCAGCUGGUGCUCCCCCUCCACCUGUGGAAGGUGCCGUACCUCCGGCUGUUGCUCCUACUGGAUGGGACCCAGCAGCCCAACCCCCCGCUCAAGGCUGGGAGUAGGCAUAGGCCCUCGCUUCGUGAUGUGUCUUCUGCGGCUUAAAAUCAGUGUUUUCUGAAGUAUGAAUGUCCAAAAUCAGACGCAUCUUCUAUAGCUAUGCAUUGAACACUUCUGUUUUAGGGCGUUCUAGCUGAACUUCUUGUGCCCCUGUUCUGUUUUCAACAUUUCUGUGCCAUGAUGGAGAGAGCUUGGGAGAUUAUGUGGUAUAAGUAGCUUUUGUUUCUGUUGCUUAUAUUGCAUGGAUCUGUGCGAUGUGAUGGUUCUAUAUAAUAUAUUCAGUCUGUUAUGAAAAUCUGGAUGCCAUGGAUUUUGUGCGGUAUGAUUCUCCCAGUUACUUUGAAAUUUGAUACAAUUGGACUGAAUGUCUUGUUGUCAUGCGUGGCCUCGUAAUCUGAAUGAUGCGUCUGUGCCUUGAAUUGCAUGUUUCGAAAAAUUGGCGUUCCCACGAUCUAUAGUGUCACUAAUUCUACGAACCACUUCGUUCCGUCGUUCAGGAUUAAUAGCUACGCUUCUUACCAGGUCUCGGAUGUUGGUGCGCAUACCUACAUCAGAUGUUCAAUUUGCAAGUGAUUCAGUUUUGAGUAGGUACUCACAUUCACAGGGAAACGGUGCUACAAGGCACUACUCUCUUGCUAUUGCAGCAUCUGGCAUCAAUUACGUUCUGCAGCUAAAUGGGCUCCAACAAGCUGCAAACGGGAGUGUCUACUGGGCAUCCGAGUGUUUCUCGGGUACCUAGCACUCAAAUUUUUUUUUCAGCCAUGCGAUUUGCAUCCAACGGCACUGGAGUCAUCUUCUUCCUCUCAUGUCCGCUCGUUAUUCCUUUCUAUGAGUGUGCGACGUUUCGCUCCAAUAAUCUACGGAGGAUUUGGGAGCGUGGGCGGCACCGGGUCGGGGAAUAGGCCGUGGGUCGCGGGGAUCGAUGGUGAUGGGGCUAGCGGAGGUCGCCGGCGGCACCUCGGGUUCAUCGGCUGCUCCGGCGUUGGCCUGGAAGAUUUUCGAAUUGUCCCGUGGUUUGGAUCGUGAUUAUUAAAGGAUCCUUUUGUAAAUUUUGACUUAAAUAAAUUUCAUAAGAACCUCUUGUUCAAAAUUGGGGGUCCUUUCAUAAAUUCGACUCAAAUAAAUUUCAAAAAACCCUUGGUUUGGAUAGCGAUUAUUAAUCGCGAUCCAAAUUGGCGAUCCUUUUGUAAAUUAUUGACGAUAUCUCCAAUAAUCUGCUCUGCUCCGGCAGCUUGACGCGCGAUUCACCGCGCGCAUCCGAGCCGAGCGAUAACCUGCGGUUGAGCUCUGGCGGUCGGUCCCGGCGGCGGCGUCUCCUCCCGGAACUGGACGCAGCGUGCCGGUCCUGGUAUAGCCCGUCCUGGUGAGCUUCUCCCUGGACCAGAUCUCCACGGCCCCGUUCCUGGAUCCUAGAUAGAUGAGGUCCGCGCUGGCCACCAGCGACCGCGCCUCCAUCGACGGCGGCAUCGACCCGACCAGCUUGUAGUUUGCGACAGUUACACACCUGCGUGCCGCCGCAGCCGUCAGAAACCUGAAGAUUGAGUUGAUGCAAGUGUUCACUGUUCAGUUCGUUUCAGUAGCUUUACCUUAACGACGUGCCGUCCAUGGAAGGAGUGCUUCCGGCCGGUGCAGAGCAAUCCUCUUGCUGCCGGACUGGAUUACACCCAGCGUGCCACUCGCCAGAUCGAUUUCCUGUCAUCGUCGAUCACAUUCAGUCAAUGCCAUCCAUCAUCCGUGCCUCUAGUAGCUUCCACUUGAAAUGGAUGCGCUGCUUCUGAAGAUUUCAGCAGCUAGCAGAUAACUGAAUGCUGCUGUCGCUGCAGCCGCAGAAAAGCUUGCCGUGCCGCGCACCAGCGCCAUGGACCUCACGUACUUGUUGGGUAUCAGCUACAGUACAUAAUUACAGGUUCUAGGGUAAUACAGAAAAAAAACAAGCAUAGAAGUCACUAAUUGCCCUAGCCUUUAGCUCUCUGUAGCAUGUUGCAAGGCAUGAUCUAUUUAGAUCAGACUCGACGAUCGACCUCAUGCCAGAAGCGGCAUUAGACUCAAGAAUCACCCGUUCCAUUCCCAGGGAAGCAGCAUGCUCCAUUCCUUUCAAACAGGCAAGAGCUUCAGCAUGCUGAGUAAUCAGCAACCAUUAUACCUGACCAGAAUGGUCUCCAAUAACAAAACCCAACCUACUUUGCCAGUUUCCAUUUAGCUUUAUUCAUCAGGUGCGAAAACAACAGAAGGUAUUGACGGCGAAAGAAAAUUACCUCGGAAUAUAAAAAAAUUACUGUCAUCUACAUGUGUCCGUGAUUGAGCCGCUGCCCAUGAAUUUCUGCUAAAUAGAACAUGAGGCGGCGUCUGCCUGCAUCUGUUUUGUCCUUGCGAGGCGGGUCACGGAUUCGCCGUUCGCGCGCCCCGUCUCGGUUGAAUUUCAACUUAAAAAGUUGAUAGAUGCACAAGCACAGUCGGGUUUCAAAUGUAUGUCCACAAAAUCUGCAGCGUGUCUAAAAGAAGAAAUCUUACAAUGGGAGAACCUGCAACGCACGGACACUGGCAGUGACAAGCACCGUACGUGCGAAAAGCGAUGGGCGUGCACGACGCCGCAGCUCAUGAGCUCUCUGACGCGUAACAACGCGCCAUAGCAUCAGAUGGAUGCGUACCAGAACAAUACAAACGGAAACAGACAAACAGAGGCCUCCGAAAUUGAACUGAUAUAAGCAGCAAAUAUUUCUAUUUCUGUAACAUACUAUUUACAACAAUAGUGCUCUUUUUUCACCUUUUUUCUUCCUUUUUUUUAAAAAAUACUUUUUUAUAUUUUUUUCAUAAUUUCUAUGGAGAAAGGGAAAAUGUAAGCUAAGCUAAAAGAAUCAGAUAUACUUUGGCCUAUUUAUUGUCUAAGCUAUGGUCAAAUUCUUCACCACAGCAAAUUGAAUCCUGUACCCAACCCAGCCGCCGACAUCUCCUCUGAUUACUUCCAGUGAUCACAACCACGAUGGUGCGAGGCUUCUCCCAUGGCCGUCAUCUCUUCAGUCCCAUCUCUUAUGCAGGCAGAUGCGCCUAGCCAUCAGCCAUUUGAUCUGCUCUAGCCGUCAGCCAUUUCCUGCUGCUCAAAAUUCCUACAGAGUUGUCACCGAGACAAAAAGUUCGCCACCUAGUAGCAAAGCAUGCCUCCAUUAGCGACCCAGUGCGCGAAGCGGUCAGAAUAGUCCCUAGUGUCUGAGAGCUGGCUGCUCGAACGAGACAGAUCCGUGUCAUCCCUUCCCUGCAAAAUUGAAAAAAGUUCAUGCCAUGAAAUUCGGAUAUAAGGGAAAGCAGUGCAACAGUAAGCCCAGUUGCUUAUAAUUCUCAUUGCCACGUUCAGAUAGAUAGAUUAAGGAAAGGUUUAAUAACAAGGCUAACCUCAUCGAGGUGUCCUUGUUCGCUAUAGGACGUAGAUGAUUCUACACUGAUCUCAUCCAUAGGCGAAUUGAUCAGCGACGACCUGCAAAUCACGAUUUGAAAAAUUGAAACACCCUAACAAUGCAAAGAGAGUGGUAGGAUAUGAAAACUAGUGGCAGCAAAUGUUACCUCUCAAAAACUUCCUCAUCACAGGAAUUCCCCGAAGAUGACAACAAAUCAAGAUCAAGAAAAUUUGAGGAAUGCAACUCAGGGUAACCUAAUCUUUUCAGAUAACUCUGCCGCUCUUCUGACAUGGAGUGCCUUGCAGGCACUGUGCCAUAGUUCAUACUGAAUAUAUAGAAAACACGGUUAAUAUUAAAUUCAUGGAACGAACAAGUUUUCCAGUAGCCUCCAAUUUCGUGUAAGGAUAGACGCACCUGGAGCAUGGGUUAGGUUCACAUAUGGAGAUAUCUGGUGCAGAAUCAGAAGGCUCUCUAAUAUCAUCCAGCGGUUGCAUAGGAAGCAACGCAGUGUUGUUUUCUCCACUAUUGCAGUUAGAUACAGGUAGGCUGUUCUCCAACAAAAUAUUACCAUCUGAUAGCGACCUCUUUAUGAAUGAUCUGAUGUAGCGAGAUGAGGAUUACUAAAUUAGAAGAGUCUGACGAACCAAUACAAGAAUAGUACAAUUGACAGAACUACCGGCCAGUCUAGACUGCUGAAAUAUCUAGUUUUUGUUGUCCUAAGUUCUUGUUGCCCCAAAUUUUGCAAUUUCAAACAAUGCCCAUUGCUCUCCUAUUAUUCUAUUAAUACAUCAGUUGUAUAGUCAUUUGUAAGCUUUGUUGCUCUAAGCCUAUGAAUUUGCACUUUGAAAUAAGGUGUAUAUCGACAACCCUGCUACAUUUUCAUGAGACAAUCUGCUAUUUUCACAGCUAGAGAAAAGAAUUUGCAGUAAGUGGUAAACCAUCAUAUUAAAAUGUCAAACGUAUAAAUAAAAAGCUGAGUAUAAAUAUAUCCAUUUGAAAAAGUAUUGGAAGCUUAUAAUCUGCACCUUGCAAUCUCUUCUUUUAAAGUUCCUUGCCUCCCAAUGUUGUAAUGCUGAUCGGAGUCCAACUUCCAUAAUGCAGGUUUCCCUUGUUGAGGUUGGAAAUGACCUAAGAACCUGCAUGUUUUAGGAUAGAUAAACCAGUUUGUGGUAAGCGCAAAUAUAACACAUAAAUGUCAGUGCUUUCCAUUGGUUCCAUCAUUUCUAAAUAAUAUUGUUUUGCAAUACAUUGAGAAGCUUACACGUUUAUAGCAUCCUGCUUGUCAUGAUCAGUGUAGGCGUUAUUGUAGUAGCGUUGAAGGGUUCGAAGGAACUCCUGAGAUUGGGUUGCUGCCUUCCAUUGGCCUCUUUGCUCACAGAAGAUCUGCGGCACAUAUGAGUAACAUGGAAAUUUAGACUGAUGUACUACCUCUGGACCUUAAUAGAUGACGUUCAGACCAAUAUUUUUUUACUUGCUGCUACCUCAUUCCUCUGGCCAGGAACGUCAAAUAUUCCGGACCGGAGGGAGUAAGUCAAGCAAGCAAUUUGGAACAGUUAGGAAUCUUUUUACAACAAGUUGACUAUUAUCUCGGAUACAGCAGAAUCACUUUGGAAGAAAGUAUUCACGUCGUUCAGAGCAUUUUACGCAUCUUUCAAAGUGUUCAGAUGCCAUAGAUUUAAGGUGUUUACAGUUAGAAAAGAAAUAAGCACAGCAUUAUGAGUUGUACUCUUCGGUAGUGAAAUAUUUCCGGAGUAAGCUAAUAUAAUAUGAGAUACCUUGUUGUGAGCUGCAGAACCACCAUAUUGAAUAGCUAAUGUAUCACCCAUUCGUUCAUAGAAAUCCAUCAGAUCGUCAGCCAGAGGAGCAUGCAAUUCAAUUUUAGGUGCUUCAGUAAGCCCCAGCGCAUGAAGUUGACGCCUUAAAGCAGCUAAACCGUAUGCAAAUUGUGCAACAUUUGUGCGGUCCAAGCAGUCUAUACAAUUUGUCCUGAGGACACCCUUCUGUAACAAAAUAGGUACCAACUUAGCUACGCAUUCGCUUUGCACGCUGCUACUUUUGUCAUCAUGUGGUUUGGUAACAGUUCUUUCGCCACUGUAAUAAAUGGAUAAAAGGUAUUAGGACUUACAAAUAGACAAAAGACAUGUGAUUUCUAAUAUAUUAAUUCGACAUAAAGACUUGGAAAAACAUGUUGUAAAAAUCAAAUUUUGGUGAAGGUGUAUAUUCUUUAAGAAAUUUAGGGAACUGUAACAUCCUAUGAUUUGUCAGCUACAUGUUAUGGUUUCCUAAGAAAAAGUUCUCUUAGUAAACUUUAGACCAGAAGCUACCUUGUGGCAUCCUCAGAUUUGGCUGAUGUACUUAUUUUGCAGUGGAGGAAUUCAGUUAGAUCCAACACAUCCGAUGCCACCUUGUUUAACAGUGCAAGCACAUUGGUACCUUUCCUGGAAGCAGCAUUUAGUACUUCGCAUUAAGGUACUUACAAGAUAAUCCACUAACAUAUCAAGGGAGAUCUUACAAAAGAUUCGCUUGGAAUACAAUAAAUUACCUUCGAGAAAGCUUACUCAAAUCCAUGUGUAAAAAUUUUAGACGCUUGUCCUCUGUUAGCCCCUUAUUAAUGUAAUGGAUAGCCUUAGCAAAUUCUGCACGGAGCAAAGAUUCACGAGGCUUCUUCUCGCGGGUCUGAUAAAAGACAAUUAAUGGAUCCAAAGGGAAUAUUCAGAUUUAUAACAAAGAGCAAAAGGCUGUCAAGUUGGCGAAUAAACUCUUAGAUGUAGAAGUGAGUGACAAUAUAAGCUGAAGACAAGAAACAUCAUUCAUGUCAAAGUAUGAACAACAUUGAUGUUGCGCUUGCCUUUAUUAAGUUCAAGAUGAUUAUUGGAUUCCCAUAUCUAAGUGCAAGGUUCUCAAAAUGAAGACGAGUCGCCUUGUAGUCCACAUCGGCUUUUACUGCAACAGCAAGGCAGUUGGAAUAUCAGGUGAGACAGUCCAAGAUACAAACUCAUAACGAAUUUAGUGGAAGAACUUACAAAUAAUAUCUGGUCUAAUAUUAAGUCUUGAAGUUUCCUGAAACCAGACAAGAGGUAUUGAUCCUCUAUGUUGUACAACAGAAGCCAUGUGACUUGGGAUUCCAUCAGAUGUGUCUUCAAAAACAAUCUGUUCAGUCUCAACAUCAUUGGCGACCCUGCCCUUUUCAUUCACACCCCGUUUCAAGAAUCUAAAAUUCAAAAUGAACAAAGAAGUAUGCAGAAAGUGGUUAACAAACUACUGUUGAGAUGAAAGGAAUGUGGAAUUGGCUACUUAUAAAUGUAAUUUUUAUCUAAAUUAAACUAUAAAUCUAAAGGCUUAGAAGUUGUAACAAAAACCUCGUUCCAGCAAAAUGGCGCGAGCGCCUAGCUAUAAGUGUCAACCAAAAAUCCUUCCCGGAUACUGAGAGCUUCGACUGCCAAACCAAAACAAGUGUAUUAGCAUGUCUUCCUACAGCACAUGGUUUGUAAUGCCAAUUUUACGAUAUGCUUUUGUGGUCCUUGAACUAGGAUCAAGAGACAGUGCCCAACACUUACUUGCUAAGGAAUGUUAAAACAGAAAAAAUAUAGCAAUGAAUUUCAUAACUAAGCAUUAGGGGAAAACAAUUAAACUGUCCAGACUAUAUGAUGUUACUCUGUAUCAGCAACAUACAAAAGAUAAAUUAGAAGAACUGAACAAAAACAAUAACAGUCUGCUGAGACUUACGAGCAAAUGUUCGACUCAGGAAAGCCUCAAGCAGCUCAAACUGAAAAAUGUCAGCAGGUUAUACAAAGCCAUGCCUUUGCAAACCCUUUAUUCAAGCUUUCACUAUAUAUCAGGUCAUGAGACGUGGAGUGAAACGCCUAAGUUAGUUGGGUGGCAUUGAGUUAGCAGCAGCCCUACUUGUGGUCUUCGAUGAUGAAUAGACAGUACUGGUGAUUCGGAUAAGCUCAUUAAUCAGAAUUUUAAAGGAGGGAUCAAUUAACACACUAACAAAAGAACUUUAAACUUAGUUGUCCCAAAAAGAACAUACCUGUUUAAAAAAUCCAUGGACUAAGGCAACAGUCCAACUGGUAUUCUUGAGAUGAUUCCGAAUUGCUCGCGUCAGAAAUUCAUUCCAUACAAACAUUGUUUCAUAAACAACCUGUCCAGUAUUCUUCUCAGUUAUGUUCUUCUGAAGGCUGCGCAUGAUGUUGUAAGAGUAGCUGAAGAAGAAAUCCUUUGAAAGAUCAACCGAGCAAAGUAGGCGCUUAUAUCUACAGAAAAUGAGAGACGAGAACAUAAAUCACUUCAGAAAAUUUGAAACUUGUAGUGUAUAUCUGAAAAUGAAUAUUACAAGUAGAAUGCUACUGGAGCAAGAAAAUUUGAAACUUUUCUAUAUACCUCCAACCACAUGAACACCUUACACAAGGCUCAGAACUGCAAGAAUUCCCAUUAUGUAUACUGGCUAUAUGAGUUGGAUGGAUAUUGUUUCUCAACAGGAAAAUUUAUACACAUAAGAGAGAUGUGAACAAAUAUUACUCUAUCGCUGUACAAUCAAACAACAUCAUGCAGAUUUCCCCAUGCUCUACUGGAACAUAAAUAAGGGAUCCCCAUAAAUAAUGAAGAGAGCUUAGUAUGUCAUCAUGCAAUUCAAUGCAAAACAGUACAACAAGGGGGAAAGAUGCAUCGACACCAAAAUUGUGUCUCAACACAACAUAGCAACCAAACGAGCUCAAAAUUCAAAUACGUGGAAAAAAGGGUAAACAAUGAGAUAAAUUAAUAAGAAAGCUAGAAAAUGUACGCUAGAAUGCAAGCUGGCAUUUUUGUUAAGAACCAAUAAUGGAAUUACAACAGGCAGUACACAAUAUUUACAUGUUGAAAAAAUAAAAGACCUGUUCUCAUCCCUAGAAUAAGCCACGUUGGGCCAGACUAUAACACUUGGAAUUGUGAUCAUUUCACUCUUGCCAAUGGAAUAGAUUUCAUGGCCGCAUAUUGUGCCAACUUUCCUUCUCCUGGUUAUUACAACCAUGUAAUAAGGACCAAGAAACUUUACAAAACCUGAAUAAGCAAAGAAUUAAAUGUUAUAAUUUGAAGAGACAAGCUAGAGAGUUGCAACUGAUAUGUUCAGGGAGUGCCAGUUUAUGUUGCAUUACCAACUAUUCCAUAGCAUUUUGUGACAAAUUUCAGUCCACCAGUCAACCUAUUCCCCUCAUGAAUCCGCCAAAGCAGUUCUUGGCAUUCACUCUCCGUGUAAAUAGUUGGAUCCUCCUCGACACCCAGCUCAGUACACUCCAUCCGAUCAAUCUUUAAGACCCUCCAGUGAGCCCUGCUCUUGUCUCUUCCAAUAAGGUAAAAUUUCUACACCAAAAAGGCGCACACAUAUUAACAACAACAGUUGGACAUUAGAUAAAAUGCUUGUGAGUUUCAACAUCAAAACUAUCUCCAGUAAAUCAAUGGAACAGUAUGCUAAGGACAAAUAUUGAACAACACCUAUUGCCUAAUGUACCAGUAUCUAAAUCUUCAUCUCUAAAUCGAGCUGGUUAUCCUUGAAACUUGAGAAAAGAAACUUGUGCAUACACAAUCAGUAGCUGAAAGCUUAUAUUAUAAGCAGAAGGCUGUUACGCAUCAGGAGCCACUGUACACAAUAGUAAAAUUGAAACAUCAUUCCAGCAAACGAUUUAACUUGCCUGAAACAACUGUAUAGAAAUAACAAAAAAAAAAGGAACAGCCUUUUUGUUUUCAUCCCCUUGCCUCUUUGCAAAAGAAACAAAAGGAUAUUCGUCUACUUUUUGCAGCCUUUUACCCUUUCCAGUAACCUAAUUGAACCGAACCUAUCAUAAAGUACACCCAUCACGCGGUUCAAGCAUUAAAUCGCACAAGAACUUAAUCAACCAUUUUACCCAAAAAAAACACAAACCCAUUGUAACAAAGUCAAGCACAGCGUGUUUACUAAUAUAUAGAGAUCUCAAGUUUGGAGAACCUGCAAUUGAAACCAAAUCAAGCGAGUACUGAGGAAACAGGAUUUGCAGGAGAU